rnacentral:ribozyme from 1 species
CAAAAAUCAUGUACUGAAUAUCGAAGCCCACACUUCGCGAAGAAUAAUAAAAGCUCUCCAUACAAAACUUCUACUCAAUACGCGACCUCGGAGAUCUCGAGAGUGGAAACAUAUCUCUCCACAUUUUGGUAGGAUGGCUAAAUUUACAGGA